GCUGCUAAUACCGCAUAAGCCUGCUGUGCCGCAUGACACAGCAGGGAAAACCACGGUGGUACAGGAUGGGCCCGCGUCUGAUUAGUUAGUUGGCAGGGUAACGGCUUACCAAGACAACGAUCAGUAGCCGGCUUGAGAGAGUGGACGGCCACAUUGGGACUGAGACACGGCCCAGACUCCUGCGGGAGGCAGCAGUGGGGAAUAUUGCACAAUGGGGGGAACCCUGAUGCAGCAAUGCCGCGUGGGUGAAGAAGCACUCCGGUGCGUAAAGCCCUGUCAGCAGGGAAGAAAAUGACAGUACCUGGACAAGAAGCCCCGGCUAACUACGUGCCAGCAGCCGCGGUAAUACGUAGGGGGCAAGCGUUAUCCGGAUUUACUGGGUGUAAAGGGAGCGCAGGCGGCGUGGCAAGUCGGAUGUGAAAACCCGGGGCCCAACCCCGGGAGUGCAUUUGAAACUGCCAUGCUGGAGUGCCGGAGAGGUAAGCGGAAUUCCUAGUGUAGCGGUGAAAUGCGUAGAUAUUAGGAGGAACACCAGUGGCGGAGGCGGCUUACUGGACGGUAACUGACGCUGAGGCUCGAAAGCGUGGGGAGCAAACAGGAUUAGAUACCCUGGUAGUCCACGCCGUAAACGA
rnacentral:rRNA from 1 species